rnacentral:lncRNA from 1 species
CAGCAAGCUGAGAUCGCGCUACUGCACUCCAGCCUGGGCGACAGAGCGAGACUCUGUCUAAAAAAAUAAAUAAAAAUAAAAAUAAUUUUUAGAAAAGAAAUUGAGAGGUAUGGCAGGUGGGAGGCUUCACUUAUAUCCCUUAACAAUAGAGUAGAUAAACAUACAGUGGAAAACAAAAAAACAGCAAUGAAAAUGAACUCACCACAGCUAUAUGAAACAACAUAAAGGAGUUUUGCAAGUGUAUUCUUGUGCAAAAGAAGGCAGACACAAAAUAAUACUGUAUAAUUCAAUUUACAUAAAGUUCAAGGAACAGACAAAACGAAACUACAGUGUUUAGGGACACAUUCUCAGGUGGUACAACUCCAAAAGCAAGGAAGCGAUUAUCACAAAAGUAGUUGGAACACCAAUUACCCUGCAGAGGUCUUCUGCUUGACUGUUCAGUACCAUGGCAUGGGUGAUGCUAACCCAGGCUCACUUUUUGAUAAAUCAUUAGGUUUUACAUUUAUGUUUUGUGCACUUUUCCAUGUGUGCUAUUCUUUUUUUUUUUUUUUUUCUUGAGACGGAGUCUCGCUCUGUUGCCCAGGCUGGAGUGCAGUGGUCUGAUCUCGGCUCAUCGAACCUCUGCCUCCCAGGUUCAAGCGAUUCUCCUGCCUCAGCCUUCUGAGUAGCUGGGACUAUAGGCAUGCACCACCACACCCAGCUAAUUUUUUUGUAUUUUUAGUAGAGACGAUGUUUCACUAUGUUGGCCAGGCUGGUCUCAAACUCCUGACCUUGUGAUCUACCCGCCUCGGCCUCCCAAAGUACUGGGAUUACGGGCGUGAGCCACCAUGCCCAGUCUAUUUUGUAUACAUUUUUUUGAGACAGGGUCUUGCUCUGUUGCCCAGGCUGGAGUGCAGUGGCAUGAUCAUAGCUCUCUGCAGUUUUGACCGCCUGGGCUCAAGUGAUCCUCCCACCUCAGCCCCCUAAGUAGCUGGGACUACAGGUGUGUGCUUCCGCACCUGGCUAAUUUUUGUGUUUUUUGUAGAGACGCAGGUUUCACCAUGUUGCCCAGGCUGGUCUUAAACUCCUGGACUCAAGCAAUCCACCCACCUCCACCUCCCAAAGUGCUAGAAUUACAGGCAUGAGCCACUGCGCCCAGCUAUGUUUAAGACACGGUCUCUGUCGCCCAGGCUGGAGUGCAGCUAACUGCAGCUUCGACGUCCAGGGCUCAAGUGAUCCUCCCACCUCAGACUCCCAAGUGGCUGGAAUUACAGGCCCAUGCCACCAUGCCCGGCUAAUUUUAUUUAAAACAUUUUUCAGAGACAGGGUCUUGCUACAUUGCCCAGGCUGGUCUCUUAACUCCUGACCUCAAGGUAUCCUCCCACUUUGGCCUCCCAAAGUGUUGGUGAUUACAGGCAUGAGCUACUGUGCCAGUCUAUCAUACACUAUUUUUUUUUUUUUUUUGAGACGGAGUCUUGCUCUGUCACCAGGCUAGAGUGCAGUGGUGCGAUCUUGGCUCACUGCAGCUUCUGCCUCCCAGGUUCAAGUGGUGUCCCUGCCUCAGCCUCCGGAGUAGCUGGAACUACAGGCGCGUGCCACCGUGCCCGGCUAAUUUUUUGUAUUUUAGUAGAGAUGGGGUUUCACCAUGUUGGUCAGGAUGGACUCGAUCUCCUGACCUCAUGAUCUGCCCGCUUAGGCCUCCUGGGAUAAAGUGCUGGGAUUACAGGUGUGAGCCACCACACCCAGCCCCAUAUGCUAUUCUUAACAAUAAAAAGGUUUUAAAAAUUUGUCUUUGGGAGGCUGAGGUGGGUGGAUCACCUGAGGUCAGGAGUUCGAGACCAGCCUGGCCAGUCGGGCAUGGUGGCGGGCACCUGUAAUCUCAGCUACUCGGGAGGCUGAGGCAGAAGAAUCACUUGAACCUGGGAGGCAGAGGUUGCAGUGAACCGAGAUCGCGCCACUGCACGCUAGCCUGGGCGACAGAGCAAGACUCCUUUUCAAAAAACAAAACAAAAUUGGGCUGUGUGUGGUGGCUCAUGCCUGUAAUCCCAGCACUUUGGAAGGCUGAAGCAGGAGGAUUGCUUAAGGCAAGGAGUUCAAGGUUACAAUGAGCUAUGAGUGCACAUCAGUCUGGGAGAUAGACUGAGACUCUGCUUCUAAAAAAAAGGGGGGUAGGGGUGGGAAACGCCAGCUCUUAAGGUAGUCAUUAGAAUGGUGAGAAGAGGUUGGGUUUUGUUUUGUUUGAGACGGAGUUUUGCUCCUGUCACCUAGGCUAGAGUGCAAUGGUGUGAUUUCGGCUCAUUGCAACCUCUUCCUCCCGGGUUCAAGCGAUUCUCCUGCCUCAGCCUCCUGAGUAGCUGGAAUUACAG